GCGUAUAUUAAAGUUGCUGCGUUUAAAAAGCUCGUAGUUGUAUCUCAGUUCAUGUUAUUGGGUCAACCACUAAAUAGCGAUUACUUAAUGACUGAACAUUGAACCGAUUUGUUUUUUAAUGCUCUUUACCGAGUGUUUUUAACGAUCGGGCUGUUUACUUUGAAAAAAUUAGAGUGCUCAAAGCAGGCAUAUCGCCUAAAUAAUCUUGCAUGGAAUAAUGGAAUAUGAACUAGGUUCUAUUCUGUUGGUCUUUUGAACCUAAGUUAAUGAUUAAAAGGGACAGACGGGGGCAUUUGUACUGCGGCGCUAGAGGUGAAAUUCUUGGACCGUCGCAAGACGAACUAC
rnacentral:rRNA from 1 species